rnacentral:rRNA from 1 species
GUGGGGAAUAUUGGACAAUGGGCGAAAGCCUGAUCCAGCCAUGCCGCGUGUGUGAAGAAGGUCUUCGGAUUGUAAAGCACUUUAAGUUGGGAGGAAGGGCAGUAAGUUAAUACCUUGCUGUUUUGACGUUACCGACAGAAUAAGCACCGGCUAACUUCGUGCCAGCAGCCGCGGUAAUACGAAGGGUGCAAGCGUUAAUCGGAAUUACUGGGCGUAAAGCGCGCGUAGGUGGUUCAGCAAGUUGGAGGUGAAAUCCCCGGGCUCAACCUGGGAACUGCCUCCAAAACUACUGAGCUAGAGUACGGUAGAGGGUAGUGGAAUUUCCUGUGUGGCGGUGAAAUGCGUAGAUAUAGGAAGGAACACCAGUGGCGAAGGCGACUACCUGGACUGAUACUGACACUGAGGUGCGAAAGCGUGGGGAGCAAACAGGAUUAGAUACCCUUGUAGUCC